UGAAAGCACAUGUAUAUUACAGUGCACAUCUAUCGGCAUCUUCCAUGAGGUCAGGAUAUUUCUGAAGCCCGUCUGGUUGUACCACUGCAAGAGCCUGGGAGUACAACACAGUGCAUUUUCCUAGAGGGCCAACUUACUUAGUGAUGAAUGAAAGGACAUAUUUCCAGACUGAAUGAACCCCACGAACUACUCAGCAUCCCACGUUAAAGUAGACUCAUGCAGAAGUACAUCAUCAUGAAAUUUUGGAACACUGCGAACAUGCAGACCCUAGAAGCAUCCUGAUUUUUUAAAAAACUCACAUACAAAGGAUUGAAAAUCAGAAUAUUGUCAGACUUCUUAAAGCAAGUUAAACUGCAGAACAAUGGAGCAAUGUCUUCAAAGUUCUCAGAGAAGAUUGUUUCCAACCUCUAAUCUGUACCCUAACAACUAAUAAAGUGUGAAGUUAGAAUAAGGACAGUUUCAGGCAAACAAGAUCCCAGC
rnacentral:lncRNA from 1 species